CUGCUGUUAAGAAAGCUGGAGUCUGAACAGGACAGUAUCUUUUCCAUAUUGAAUAAAACUAUUGAGUCUUUGGUUUCUCGGCUGGAAGAAAAGAAUCUAAAUAUAUUUGGAUAGGGAGGUGGAAGGCAAGACAGCAAAGGAUCCAAAGAAUAAUAUAUGUGGCUGAGCAGACCAAGGAGAUGGGAGAGUUGCAGAUGGUGGUGAAACAAGAGAAAUCAGGACCACAGUUGUAAGCCCAGUGACUUCGGUUGGGUUCAUCAUAAGAAACAUGAGACUCCUGAGGUCCUCUGAAACUUACUGAAUGAAGCCACAGGGGUACUGUUAAGUAUGGGCCAGGUCUAAAUGUGGUCUUUACUAGUGAGUAGUUGCUUCCUUGGUGAAAAGGAGACAACCACUAGUGUUUUGUAGUACUGUGGUGGUGAGGAUUAAAUGAGUUAAGAGCUUAAAACAGUGCCUGCUAAACGUUAAGCAUCAUAAAUGUUAGUUGCUGUGAGGCUGUGAUUCAUACUGUGAUUCCUCGCAGAACUAUGAACUGAGACCAGUAGCCAGUGAGAAAGUGGCUCUGUAGAAGUCAUCGCUGAGAGCAGCUCUUCCUAAGGGAAUACAGGUUACACUGAUGUUUCUCGAU
rnacentral:lncRNA from 1 species